UCCGGGGCCCGGGCCGCGGGCCGCAGUCCGCAGUCCGCAGAGCACUCGGGUGACCAUGUACCGGCUCCUGGGCGCGGGCCUGGCCCUAGGCCUCCUGCGGGUGGCGGGGCGGCGGGGUCGGAGCCGCUCGGCGCGCCUGCUGCCGGGUCCGGCGGGAGGCCGAGCGCCCGCGGCGGUCGUGCCGCCGUGCCGAGAGGUGCCGCGCGGCCUGGGCCCGGGCCUGCUGCCGCUGCUGGCAGCGCUCGCCUGGUCCUCGAGGCCCGCCCCGGCGGAGCAGGAGCGGGAGCGGCAGGGCGCGGGCGGGGCCGCGGCCGGGGACGCCGAGGCCGAGAUCAUCCAGCUGCUGAAGCGAGCCAAGUUGUGCAUCAUGAAAGAUGAGCCAGCAGAGGCAGAGCUAAUUUUGCAUGAUGCUCUUCGUCUUGCCUAUAAGAGUGAUAACAAGAAGGCCAUCACUUACACUUACGAUUUGAUGGCCAACUUAGCAUUUAUACGGGGUCAGCUUGAAAAUGCGGAAAAACUUUUUAAAGCAACAAUGAGUCACCUGCUUGGAGGGGGCAUGCAACAGGAAGACAAUGCAAUAAUAGAAAUCUCUCUAAAGCUGGCCACCAUUUAUGCUGCUCAGAAUAGGCAGGAAUUGGCUCUUGCUGGUUAUGAAUUCUGCAUUUCAACUCUAGAGGAAAAAAUUGAAAGAGAAAAGGAAUUAUCAGAAGACACUUUGUCAGUGUCCACCAGAUACGAGAGAGAGGAAGCGAAGCUCAUGUUUUGCCUGUUUGUCCUCAUUGCGGAGGGAAGAGCGCGAAGAGUCAUGCUGGGAACAGAAUGGGUGGAAGAGAAAGCCAACACCCACCUCCUCUUGGGCAUGUGCCUAGACACCUAUGCCCGCUACCUUCUGUUCUCCAAGCAGCCAUCACAGGCACAAAGGAUGUAUGAAAAAGCUUUGCAGAUUUCUGAAGAAAUACUAGGAGAAAGACACCCACAGACCAUCGUGCUGCUGAGUGACCUGGCCACCACCCUGGAUGCGCAGGGCCGCUCCGACGAGGCCUGUGUUCACGCGCAGAGGGCCUCAGACCUGGCGAGGCAGGGGGAGCACCCCGAGCUCCACGUGCUGCUCCGUAACCUGGCUGCGGUGCUGAUGCACGGAGAGCGAUACGCACAAGCAGAAGAGGUCUACCAGGAAGCGCUGAAGCGAGCAAAGCUGAAGAGAGAUGAGGUCUCUGUGCGGCACAUCAGGGAAGAGCUGGCCGAGCUGUCACGGAAAAGCAGACCUCUGUCGUAACCUUCCCAAGCUCUAGACCCCCCCUUUGUUGUGGGGAACUUACAGUAACAAACACCUCUCAUUCCAGUCCCAGUGGCACCCUAAUCAAUGGCUUAAAUCCUUUGUCCUUGAUACUCAAGCCCCCUCAGCUUAGCUUCGCUGGGGCACGAGCUGUACACGCUGUGCACACUGCUGCGUUUGCUUUGCGAAGAAAACUCGCCCCCCCACCUGACUGAUUUUGCUUCUGCGGACGGGUGUCGGUUAAUGCUUUCCGUUGCAGCAGACGGCUGGCGGGUUAGGUGCUGUCCAUGCUGGUCCGAGAAUAACUCUAGAUUAAGAGGGGCUAGUUUCCCUCUGGGGUGGGGUCUGGUAUUUCAGCCAGGCAUCUCUCCCAUAAGAUUUUUGUCCACUGAUUGAUUGAUUUGCUGCCUUCUCUUAUCAAUACCUGGCAGACCAGAGCUACCGGUCUCAUGGCAAAGGGGGAUGACGUUGCAGGAGUUACCGAAAGGGAGGUUUUUCGCUCCAGGUUUUACUGAGAAUUUCUGAGCCUCCUCAGUGAUGCGGCUCCCGGUCCCGGAACACCUGCGGGAGUUUUCAGAAAGCUCCUGUGCACGCGGUGCGGUCACUACAGUUCACUGCACCGAGGCAGCAAAACGAGGAGGACUGGCCUGCCACUGAUGGGGCUGAAUCCAAAGGUGAACCGUUCACAGUAUGAAAACUUGAACUAUCUCACUGGAGCUUUCAGGGCGUGGACAGUUGAAGACAGAAUCACCCAGCACACCCACAUUCAAGCACGACGCAUCUUCUCCUCAUGAACACGCGCUGGACACUGGCUGGCUGUCACAGUUCUGUGAACCGUAGCUUCGUUCUGGGUGCUAAAAAAAAGCCACUUGCCAGGCUGUAGCUUCAGAACCCUGGGGUCUCAGCCCGCAGCAUCCCGCCUCGGUUCACAGCUGACUUGGCCAGGUCACGACACGCCGGGGUGGGGCUCCACCUCCCACACGGUCUGCCCCCUCCGCAGGCCUGCACUCCGUCCUGCCCUUGUUCUGAACUGAGGCAGGACCGUGGGUUUUGUCUCCCGUUGCGGGAUCUCUUCUCCAGGUGGCGGCAGGUGAAGUAAAACAACUUGCACUGUGAUGAGGAGGCGUGAGUGGUCAACAGCCGCUCCCUUUGGGUCCUGAGUGGAGCUGCACAGGUGACGCACAGGGCUCUGAUCUGACGUGUUCUCAAGAACUAGUCAUAGAAAAAUACCAGCAUCAUCUCUUUGGGACUGUUGACAAAUAAUUAAAAUCUAAAAUAUUACUA